CAGGUGAUGCUCUAAGCCAGGGGUCCUCAAACUCCGGCCCCCCAGAUGUUGCUGAACUACAACUCCUUUGAUUCUCUGGCUAUCUAUGUAAUUCAAAGAAUCAUGGGAGUUAUAGUUCAGCAACAUCUGGGGGGGCGGACGGAGUUUGAGGACCCCUGCUCUAAGCCAAUAACUG